UUGGCGUAGUACUCAUCUCAUCCUAGCAAUGUUGACAAAAAAACUCACUUGACGCAUUCACCUUCGUUGCAACCUUUGUAAAUAAACUUGACAACUCCAUUUUCAUCCUUUUAUUUGUGGUUCCACUAGAGAAACAUUUGAAGUGCGUACUUUCAUUCAUUUUCGACGAGAAAAGACCUGACGUGAGGAUAGAGAGAGAAACACUUGGGGUAUGCCUCAAAACAUCAGCGAACUAGACUGCGAAUAAUCUUAUUCUUUAGUUGUAGUGUGGAUUGAAAUCUUCCUCUCAAUUUGGAGAAGAUCUUGGACCAAUCUUCUGACUUCUUAGGAGGCACAUGGUGGUCGAAUUUCGUAUAUUUUGUGAUUUCAACUUUGCACACCUACGAAACAUAUUUAUUUUCAAAUGUUAAAAGCCAUGAAAUUGCAAUACACUGGAUCCGAGAGUGAUAGAACUCAAUUUCUUACAAUAUGUCAAAGUUUCAUAUCAAAAUUUCUUCCACAUUGUUCAAAAUUAAAUCCUGAAGUUGCUUUUGAACUUUGAUAUCUCUUUUACAACUUUGCACGAUUAUGGUAGAAAAUUCUUAACUUGGAGUAGGAGUAUUGAAAUAAUGAUUUUCUUUUUUUUUUUUGGAAAGACUACUCAAAUAACUACACAAUGUAUAAAAAUCAUGACCAAAGACUUUGUGGAUUGGUACAGAUAUCGCUUCAAAGUCAGCUCAUGGUUCUACCUCUCUCAACUCUUCAGCAUUCACGACUUUAGGAGAAUAUCAAUAACUCGGCCCAGGAGCCUCCAAAAUAAUGUGAUUUUUUUGUUUGGAAGAAUAACUCAUAGACUUAUAUAAUAUAUAAAAGUCACGGCCAAAAUCCUUCCAUAGUAGUACAAAUAUAUUUUCAAAGUUAUCUUCAAUUUUAUCUCGCUCAACUCUUCAGCUUUGAGUAACUUUGGGAGAAUUUUAAUAACACGGCGUAGUAGCCUCGAAAUGAUGCGGUUCUUGUUCUGUUGGAAGAAUAACUCGUAUAUGUACAACAUAUGUAAAAGUCACACCCAAAGAUUUCUAGAUUAGUGCAUAUAUCAUUUCAAAGUCAACUCAAAUUCCGCUUUGCUAAACUCUGCAGGUUUGGGCAUCUUCAGGAGAAAAUUAAUAACUCGGUGUAGGAGUCUCGAAAUGAUACGACUUUCAUUCUAUUGGAAGCAUAACUCAUAGAUUUACAAAAAUAUAUAAAAAUCACAACUAAAAGAUUUCCAUAUUAGUGCAUAUAUCUUUUCAAAGUCAACUCAAAUUUCUUUUCGCUAAACUCUUCAGCUUUUGGCAAUUUUGGGGGAAAAUUGAUAACUCUGACGUAGGAUUCUUGGAAUGUGUGAUUCUUAUUCCAUUGGAAGCAUAACUCACAGAUCCUUGUAAUCUAAGAUCAUCCUUCGCCAAGGAUUGAUGUAGUCCAUUACGAAUUCAUCCUUACCUUGUUUUGUAUAAGUCAAUAUAUUCCAUCAUGCUCAUUGUACGACAGGUAUUGUAGAAAUGAUUGAGAAAUUGAUUUUCUAAAUGUUUCCAACUAUUGAUUGAUUCAGGAUCCAAGUACAUAUAGAAACCAAAGGUGUUUUCUUUUAAUGAAUGGAUAAACUGCUUGACAAAAAGAUCAUCAUAUGUACCAACACUGCUACAAGUCUCGACGAAAUGGGAGGAAGAAAUGAAGAGCAUAAUUGGUCCCACUGGUUGUGCCAAAUUUGUUCGCGACGAAUUUUCUUAGGCGCUGAAAAUCGACUGCAAGCAAAAUAAAUAAAAAGAAAAAAUAUAAUUUUAUUAAUGAAUCAUUGUGAUGUCGAUCUCCUUGAUAUGUUAUCGAUCUCCGGGACGUCAUAAAAUGCUUUGUCGUUUCAAGUCUAGCUCCGGAAAGAACUUCGUUGACCACUCAUUUGAAGAGAUAUGAGGUUGAUGUUGUAGCUUCUCCAAUUUGUCGAAUGCUUGUUGAAGAGUUUUCUUGAUGCCUGUGGAAUGUCAUAUGUUUAUUUCCUAUUUAUAGUUGUAGGGGGUGGACAAGGUUGCAUAUGAUUGUCCAAGGGAUGUCCCUUUGACUCUUCGCAUGUUGUAAUAGGUUCUUGCACUUGAUUGGACUAACACCUCAUUUGGACACGUGGCGUCACCUUGUUGGUCUUGGAUGCCUAGUCACCAUGACACGUGGCAUGAAUUUGGGCUUCAAGGUGGAAUGAACCUUGGAUUUGAAUUUAAU